rnacentral:rRNA from 1 species
GCUUGUCUCAAAGAUUAAGCCAUGCAUGUCUAAGUGUAAAUAAGUCUAUACUGUGAAACUGCGAAUGGCUCAUUAAAUCAGUUAUCGUUUAUUUGAUGAUCUCUUACUACUUGGAUAACCGUAGUAAUUCUAGAGCUAAUACAUGCACAAAAUCCCGACUUACGAAGGGAUGUAUUUAUUAGAUACAAACCAACAUCGUGGUGAUUCAUAAUAACUUUGGGCUGAUCGUAUGGCCUUGUGCCGACGACGUUUCCUUCGAAGGUGUGCCCUAUCAACUGUCGACUGUGAUAUAGACGCUCACAGUGGUUUUGACGGGUAACGGGGAAUCAGGGUUCGAUUCCGGAGAGGGAGCCUUAAAAACGGCUACCACAUCCAAGGAAGGCAGCAGG